ACAGGGAUUGCCCUAGUAACGGCGAGUGAAGCGGCAUCAGCUCAAAUUUGAAAUCUGGCUCUUUCAGGGUCCGAGUUGUAAUUUGCAGAGGGCGCUUUGGCGUUGGCAGCGGUCCAAGUUCCUUGGAACAGGACGUCACAGAGGGUGAGAAUCCCGUACGUGGUCGCUGGCCUUCGCCGUGUAAAGCCCCUUCGACGAGUCGAGUUGUUUGGGAAUGCAGCUCUAAAUGGGAGGUAAAUUUCUUCUAAAGCUAAAUACUGGCCAGAGACCGAUAGCGCACAAGUAGAGUGAUCGAAAGAUGAAAAGCACUUUGGAAAGAGAGUCAAAUAGCACGUGAAAUUGUUGAAAGGGAAGCGCUUGCAGCCAGACUUGCCUGUAGUUGCUCAUCCGGGCUUUUGCCCGGUGCACUCUUCUGCGGGCAGGCCAGCAUCAGUCUGGGCGGUUGGAUAAAGGCCUCUGUCAUGUACCUCCUUUCGGGGAGGCCUUAUAGGGGAGGCGUAAUGCAACCAGCCUGGACUGAGGUCCGCGCAUCUGCUAGGAUGCUGGCGUAAUGGCUGUAAGCGGCCCGUCUUGAAACACGGACCAAGGAGUCUAACAUCUAUGCGAGUGUUUGGGUGUCAAGCCCGAGCGCGUAAUGAAAGUGAACGGAGGUGGGAUCCCUUUAGGGUGCACCAUCGACCGAUCCUGAUGUCUUCGGAUGGAUUUGAGUAAGAGCAUGGCUGUUGGGACCCGAAAGAUGGUGAACUAUGCUUGAAUAGGGUGAAGCCAGAGGAAACUCUGGUGGAGGCUCGCAGCGGUUCUGACGUGCAAAUCGAUCGUCAAAUUUGGGCAUAGGGGCGAAAGACUAAUCGAACUAUCUAGUAGCUGGUUCCUGCCGAAGUUUCCCUCAGGAUAGCAGUAACGUAUUCAGUUUUAUGAGGUAAAGCGAAUGAUUAGAGGCCUGGGGGUUGAAACAACCUUCACCUAUUCUCAAACUUUAAAUAUGUAAGAAGUCCUUGUUACUUAAUUGAACGUGGACACUUGAAUGUACCGUUACUAGUGGGCCAUUUUUGGUAAGCAGAACUGGCGAUGCGGGAUGAACCGAACGCGGGGUUAAGGUGCCAGAAUAUACGCUCAUCAGACACCACAAAAGGUGUUAGUUCAUCUAGACAGCAGGACGGUGGCCAUGGAAGUCGGAAUCCGCUAAGGAGUGUGUAACAACUCACCUGCCGAAUGAACUAGCCCUGAAAAUGGAUGGCGCUCAAGCGUAUUACCCAUACCCCGCCGCCGGGGCAAGAUUUAAGCCCCGGCGAGUAGGCAGGCGUGGAGGCUCGUGACGAAGCCUUGG
rnacentral:rRNA from 1 species